rnacentral:rRNA from 1 species
CGCUGGCGGCGUGCCUAAUACAUGCAAGUCGAACGGUCUUUCUAUGGAAGCUUGCUUCCACUGAGAAGAUAGUGGCGAACGGGUGAGUAACACGUGGGUAACCUGACCCAUAAGAGGGGGGAUAACAUCCGGAAACGGGUGCUAAUACCGCAUAGUUUUCUUGAUCGCAUGAUCGGGAAAGGAAAGACGGCCUUUGUGCUGUCGCUUAUGGAUGGACCCGCGGCGUAUUAGUUAGUUGGUGAGGUAACGGCUCACCAAGACGAUGAUACGUAGCCGACCUGAGAGGGUGAUCGGCCACAUUGGGACUGAGACACGGCCCAAACUCCUACGGGAGGCAGCAGUAGGGAAUCUUCCGCAAUGGACGAAAGUCUGACGGAGCAACGCCGCGUGAGUGAAGAAGGUUUUCGGAAUCGUAAAACUCUGUUGUCAGAGAAGAACAAGUUGGAGAGUAACUGCUCCAGCCUUGACGGUAUCUGACCAGAAAGCCACGGCUAACUACGUGCCAGCAGCAGC